rnacentral:lncRNA from 1 species
CCUCCAAGUGCUUUCUUUGUUUUCAUGUAUGCCCAUUUGCAUUUUUGGUCUCUAUCAUUUCUGUCUAUUGUUCUUAUAUAUUACCUUUUUUAUGCCGCUUGGCAGACUACAACAAUAAUUUGGUAAUCCAUCUAUGAGAAGCACGGUGUUAUACACAGUUUAGUUUGAAUUGUGAUACUGAAACGACUUGUGCCGAACUGUUUUUAUAGGCUAGAGGGGCUGUUGAAUUCGACAAGGCAAAGUCUGAGGUUAAUGGUGAUGAGGACGAUGAGAACAGUGGAGACGUUAGUUGAAAUUAAGCUAUACAACUUUUUUGUACUUGAAACUUUGCUACUAUGUUGACUUUUUAUUUUGUUUUAAUUAAUUUAGGGGGAAGACGAUGAGUAAGCACUAUUACAGAAAACUGGAUUUUGGAUUCAAGGUGAGAACCAACAAUCAAUCUUCCUUCAUUAUUUGCAUUUAUGGCUUCAGGUUUUGUAAAAUGUUCGAUUUGAAAGUGAGUUAAUUGGAUUGGUAGAUUUCAUGAAGAAUUAUUGUGUAAAAUUUGGCUUCAGGUGAAUUUUACUGAAAUUAAUUGAAAGUAAUUAUCAAUAAUACUCCUUUUUUAAUUUUUAUUUUUUAAAGUUGCUAAUGUGUUUGUUCUUCCUUUCAGUGAGGGAACAAGCAUCUCUUUGCCAUUAACUUGGGGCAAAAAAAGAGAGGAAACGUAUGCCUUGUUUUUCAUUAUUGCCUAUUGGUACACAAGACGUAUUUAGAGGAAAGGGGUGGAGGAAGAGGGGGUUGAGUGCUUGUAGACCAUGAGCAAAAAUGGCAGACUACAAUAAGAAUUUGGUAAUUUCAUCUAUGAAAUUCUCUAUUACAAUGCACUACGUGCAUCUCACAUGCGAAGAACUAGUUCGAUAAAUAUUCAAUAUUUUGCAGCAAGCUUCAUAUCUUGUUAAAUUUUGAAGGUCCUUCCUUUUGUGAAAUCAUUUAAGUUAAAAAUGUUAAGAGAGAAAAACAUUAAUUUAUUAAUAUCUUCAAAACUCUUCUUAUGGUGCAGGUAGAUUUAAUUUUUCUAUAAACAUUAAAUUUCUGACUUUGAUGGGGAUGAUGUUAUUAUUUUACAGAUUUUCAUCUGGUCGUCCAUUACCAAUACAAUUUCGAGACUCGAUUUGAUUAGAGACUAAUAGCUCAGUCAUCUACCAGGUCAAGAAAGUUAUUAAUUGGGUUAGUUGCUGUAAGCUUGUGGGCUGACCACCUAUAUGCCUGCUUUGCAUAUAUUUCGUUGCCAGCUCCAAUCCACAUCAUUUGAUGACGUGUUGUUUACAACAAAUUUGACUUGUACACAAUAUCUGUUAUUACGAGAGUUAGAGAGAGAGGCCAAUUCAAACCAUCAUUUGGUGACACAUUUUUUAAGAGCAAUCGUGGAACCUAUAUUUGUUAAGUGAAGUCAAUGUUAUGCUGAAGCAAACAAAAGAUUAUGACGAUUGAGGAUAGUCAAGUUCACAUUUCACUUCUUAUCUUUCCAUUCUCUCUCUUUUAGAGUAAAGAUCAUUUGUAGUAUUUCGUGGCUACCAAAUAUUCAAAUACUCCAGGGAACAUUGUAGAUGUAAAAUUCUGCAUUAUAUAAUAGGAGGAAUUUCUUUUUUUUUUUUUUUUUUCCUAAAUGGAUUAUCAGGUAAGUUGUCAUUAUUUGCAAUAGUAAUAGGCUUUUUAUUAUGAUGUGCAGUUGCACAUGUCCAUGUGUGUCC